GACGAACGCUGGCGGCGUGCCUAAUACAUGCAAGUCGAACGCAGUGGGGACGGGUGAGUAACACGUGGGUAACCUCCCAUCAGAGGGGAUAACACUUGGAAACAGGUGCUAAACCGAUACUGAUGGAUGGACCCGCGGUGCAUUAGCUCGUUGGUGAGGUAACGGCUCACCAAGGCCCAGAUGCAUAGCCGUCCGUGUAGGUGGAUCGGCCACACUGGAACUGAGACACGGCCCAGACUCCUAUGGGAGGCAGCAGUAGGGAAUCUUCGGCAAUGGACGAAAGUCUGACCGAGCAACGCCGCGUGAGUGAAGAAGGUUUUCGGAUCGUAAAACUCUGUUGUUAGAGAAGCGGUAGCUAACCAGAAAGCCACGGCUAACUACGUGCCAGCAGCCGCGGUAAUAC
rnacentral:rRNA from 1 species